UACACUCCUGCGGGAGGCAGCAGUGGGGAAUAUUGGACAAUGGGCGCAAGCCUGAUCCAGCCAUGCCGCGUGAGUGAUGAAGGCCCUAGGGUUGUAAAGCUCUUUCACCGGUGAAGAUAAUGACGGUAACCGGAGAAGAAGCCCCGGCUAACUUCGUGCCAGCAGCCGCGGUAAUACGAAGGGGGCUAGCGUUGUUCGGAUUUACUGGGCGUAAAGCGCACGUAGGCGGACUAUUAAGUCAGGGGUGAAAUCCCGGGGCUCAACCCCGGAACUGCCUUUGAUACUGGUAGUCUUGAGUUCGAGAGAGUUGAGUGGAAUUCCGAGUGUAGAGGUGAAAUUCGUAGAUAUUCGGAGGAACACCAGUGGCGAAGGCGGCUCACUGGCUCGAUACUGACGCUGAGGUGCGAAAGCGUGGGGAGCAAACAGGAUUAGAAACCCUUGUAGUCCCAUGAU
rnacentral:rRNA from 1 species